AAGUCGUAACAAGGUUUCCGUAGGUGAACCUGCGGAAGGAUCAUUACCAGAGAGGAGCCAGUUCUCCUUGGGGCUCGGCCCCGCGGGCUCCGUCCCGUUUCUCCCCCCCGUGUCUACCUACCUUUGUUGCUUUGGCGGGCCGGGGGCCUCUGCCCCCCCCACGGCUUGGACGGUGGCCUCGCGUUCUCGCGGAUGGCCACCGCCGGCGGGGGUUGUGCCCGUCCAUCGCCCUUAUCCAACCCUGUUUAUCAGUGUCGUCCGAGUCCACAAGAACAAUCGUGAAAACUUUCAACAACGGAU
rnacentral:misc_RNA from 1 species